ensembl:lncRNA
GGGGCGGUGACAGAUGGAGAAUCAGUGUGUCAGAGAGGGAGAGAGAGGGAGGGAGAGAGGACGCACCGAGAGACAGCGAGAGCAAAGUGAGAGCGAGAGAAAGGGGUCGAGAGUGAGGGGGCCGGGAAGGAGACGGAGCGAGUGGUCCACACUUAAUACAUCCGCCGUCUUUGUGUCUCCGCGCUGGACCAGAGACGCCGGGUCUUUGUGUCUGUCGGAUGCUGAAGGUGUUGAUGGGGAUGGAGAGAGAACACAGCGGCUCUGCACUGCUCUACACCUGGACGCAAGAGCUGCACUGACGGAGUUUGACUUUUUAUUGUCUGUCCAGUGAAGCCACGGUGAAAGACGCGUGUGGAUGAAUCCGUUUCACAGCCUCGUGGUACUUUGUGUACUCCUCACCGCUCUCGCCUCCUCAGUACUGAAGACACUUUUACUGGAGAUUGUGUCCGUAGCAACCAAGUAUGUGACACCCUCAUCAUUUUAAAGCUUCAGGGGGAACUUAUGUUAUAUAUUUCACCCACAUUGUCUCAUCUUUACUUCAACGCUGGCUGUUACAGUGAUCAUUCAGGAUGAUCACACACACACACACACACCCACACACACACACACACAAUCAGUCAGUCGGCUCGCUUCAUCGCAAAAUUAUGGAUUGUCGUGUCUGUGUGUUUUCUCAUUAGCCACAAUCAGUCUAACAGCUGCUGCCUGUUUUUCUGUUUUUCUCGAUCUCUGGACUUGAUAUGAAAAGGUUCUUACUGUACAUGUACGUACACGAGGGCCCCCAUGUCACAUGCUGAGGGUCUCAUAUGAGUAUACUCUGUAAUAUUAUUAUAUAUAUUUUCUGUAAAUUGCAGCCUGGUCUCC